rnacentral:sRNA from 1 species
AGUUAGUUUUGAAUAUUUUGUUUGCUAACGCCGGAGUUAGUCGAUCAGUUAUUUAUGAUAUAUGUUUUAACCUGAGAUUAUAUGUUUAUGAUAUUGAUGA